rnacentral:tRNA from 1 species
GCCUGAAUAGCUCAGUUGGUAGAGCACUUCACUCGUAAUGAAGGGGUCGUCGGUUCGAAUCCGAUUUCAGGCUCCA